GAUACUAUAUGAUACAGGCUAAUUCACUCCAACAAGUUGUAUUUAAUCUACUACUCACACUUACAGACAAAUACCCUUAACUUACAAAUUCUGUACCUGUAAAACAGAUCUUACCUCAGUGACACAAUUUUAACUAUUAUCACACCACAACAAGCUGUUACAAUUAACCAUUUUUACUUUACCUUCCACAUAUUUCAUUUUGUGAAUUAAUCAAUAUUUACAAGAAACUUUCAAAGCAGAAUAUUUAAAUUAGCCAAUAAACAAACUGGAGAAGUAUAAAUAGUGUCCAGAAUUAAUUUCCAUCCUUUCCAAAGGUUAUUUAAUUGAUAAAUAAAUUAUUCCAAGUUUUUAAAAAAAGAAAAACAGGCCUGUCUGUCCAGAAUUAAUUUCCAUAUUUUCCAAAGGUAAUUUAAUAAAUUAAUUACUCAAAGUUUCAAAGAGAAAAAAACAGGCCUGUUCAGAAUUAAAUUCCAUCUUGUCCAAAGGUUAUUUAAUAAAUAAAUUAUUCCUAGUUUAAAAAAAAAACAGGCCUGUCCAGAUUUAAUUUCCUUCCUUUCCAAAGGUAAUUUAAUAGAUAAAUUAUUCUAAGUUAAAAAA